AACGCUAGCUACAGGCUUAACACAUGCAAGUUGAGGGGCAGCAUGGUCUUAGCUUGCUAAGGCCGAUGGCGACCGGCGCACGGGUGAGUAACACGUAUCCAACCUGCCGUCUACUCUUGGACAGCCUUCUGAAAGGAAGAUUAAUACAAGAUGGCAUCAUGAGUCCGCAUGUUCACAUGAUUAAAGGUAUUCCGGUAGACGAUGGGGAUGCGUUCCAUUAGAUAGUAGGCGGGGUAACGGCCCACCUAGUCUUCGAUGGAUAGGGGUUCUGAGAGGAAGGUCCCCCACAUUGGAACUGAGACACGGUCCAAACUCCUACGGGAGGCAGCAGUGAGGAAUAUUGGUCAAUGGGCGAGAGCCUGAACCAGCCAAGUAGCGUGAAGGAUGACUGCCCUAUGGGUUGUAAACUUCUUUUAUAAAGGAAUAAAGUCGGGUAUGUAUACCCGUUUGCAUGUACUUUAUGAAUAAGGAUCGGCUAACUCCGUGCCGGCAGCCGCGGUAAUACGGAGGAUCCGAGCGUUAUCCGGAUUUAUUGGGUUUAAAGGGAGCGUAGAUGGAUGUUUAAGUCAGUUGUGAAAGUUUGCGGCUCAACCGUAAAAUUGCAGUUGAUACUGGAUAUCUUGAGUGCAGUUGAGGCAGGCGGAAUUUGUGGUGUAGCGGUGAAAUGCUUAGAUAUCACGAAGAACUCCGAUUG
rnacentral:rRNA from 1 species